AUUGAACGCUGGCGGCAGGCCUAACACAUGCAAGUCGAACGAGUGGCGGACGGGUGAGUAAUGUCUGGGAAACUGCCCGAUGGAGGGGGAUAACUACUGGAAACGGUAGCUAAUACCGCAUACCAUCGGAUGUGCCCAGAUGGGAUUGGCUUGUAGGGGAGGUAACGGCUCACCUAGGCGACGAUCCCUAGCUGGUCUGAGAGGAUGACCAGCCACACUGGAACUUGGACACGGUCCAGACUCCUACGGUAGGCAGCAGUGGGGAAUAUUGCACAAUGGGCGCAAGCCUGCUGCAGCCAUGCCGCGUGUAUGAAGAAGGCUGUCGGGUUGUAAAGUACUUUCAGCGGGGAGGCGUUACCCGCCGAAGAAGCACCGGCUAACUCCGUGCCAGCAGCCGCGGUAAUUC
rnacentral:rRNA from 1 species